rnacentral:rRNA from 2 species
UGGGGAAUAUUGCACAAUGGGCGCAAGCCUGAUGCAGCCAUGCCGCGUGUAUGAAGAAGGCCUUCGGGUUGUAAAGUACUUUCAGCGGGGAGGAAGGGAGUAAAGUUAAUACCUUUGCUCAUUGACGUUACCCGCAGAAGAAGCACCGGCUAACUCCGUGCCAGCAGCCGCGGUAAUACGGAGGGUGCAAGCGUUAAUCGGAAUUACUGGGCGUAAAGCGCACGCAGGCGGUUUGUUAAGUCAGAUGUGAAAUCCCCGGGCUCAACCUGGGAACUGCAUCUGAUACUGGCAAGCUUGAGUCUCGUAGAGGGGGAUAGAAUUCCAGGUGUAGCGGUGAAAUGCGUAGAGAUCUGGAGGAAUACCGGUGGCGAAGGCGGCCCCCUGGACGAAGACUGACGCUCAGGUGCGAAAGCGUGGGGAGCAAACAGG